rnacentral:rRNA from 1 species
UUCCCCUUCGGGGGGACAAAGUGACAGGUGGUGCAUGGUUGUCGUCAGCUCGUGUCGUGAGAUGUUGGGUUAAGUCCCGCAACGAGCGCAACCCUUAAGCUUAGUUGCCAUCAUUAAGUUGGGCACUCUAAGUUGACUGCCGGUGACAAACCGGAGGAAGGUGGGGAUGACGUCAAAUCAUCAUGCCCCUUAUGAUUUGGGCUACACACGUGCUACAAUGGACAAUACAAAGGGCAGCGAAACCGUGAGGUCAAGCAAAUCCCAUAAAGUUGUUCUCAGUUCGGAUUGUAGUCUGCAACUCGACUACAUGAAGCUGGAAUCGCUAGUAAUCGUAGAUCAGCAUGCUACGGUGAAUACGUUCUCGGGUCUUGUACACACCGCCCGUCACACCACGAGAGUUUGUAACACCCGAAGCCGGUGGAGUAACCUUUUAGGAGCUAGCCGUCGAAGGUGGGACAAAUGAUUGGGGUGAAGUCGUAACAAGGUAGCCGUAUCGGAAGGUGCGGCUGGAUCACCUCCUUU